GACGAACCGUGCGAACGUUGUUCGGAAUCACUGGGCUUAAAGGGCGCGUAGGCGGGCUGUCAAGUCUGGGGUGAAAUGCCGCGGCUCAACCGUGGAACUGCCUUAGAUACUGACGGCCUCGAGGAAGGUAGGGGCAUGCGGAACUGUAGGUGGAGCGGUGAAAUGCGUAGAUAUCAGGAGGAACACCGGUGGCGAAGGCGGCUUUCUGGGACGUGACUGACGCUGAGACGCGAAAGCGUGGGGAGCAAACAGG
rnacentral:rRNA from 1 species